rnacentral:ncRNA from 1 species
AAUGCGCGAAAUGAAAAGGGAACAUGGUGAGGCGUACCCAACAGGGACCGAAUCCAUGGCUGCCCCCGCAACUGUAAGCGAUGAGACGCGCUUCAAACGCCACUGACAAAUGUCGGGAAGGCGAAGCGUGUCGCCCGAAUCGCGAAGCCAGGAGACCUGCCACAGAUCUA